rnacentral:rRNA from 1 species
UACGUAGGGGCCGAGCGUUGUCCGGAGUUACUGGGCGUAAAGAGCGCGCAGGCGGUCGUUCAAGUCGAGUGUGAAAGCCCCCGGCUCAACUGGGGAGGGUCACUCGAUACUGAUCGACUCGAAGGCAGGAGAGGGUAGUGGAAUUCCCGGUGUAGUGGUGAAAUGCGUAGAUAUCGGGAGGAACACCAGUGGCGAAGGCGACUACCUGGCCUGUUCUUGACGCUGAGGCGCGAAAGCUAGGGGAGCAAACGGG